rnacentral:rRNA from 1 species
UAUAGAAACAUUAUUAAUUUUCCCGAAUAAAAAAGAUCUAUCCUUAAUUCUUUAUAUUAGUAAAGUUAACGUGUAAUGUAGAAAUAUUAUACCUUAAUUAAAGGAUAGGGGUGAAAUGUCUCCAAUUUUUUAGAUAUCUGGAAAGAGCCGAAAAAAAUUUAGUUUUAAAUUAGUCAGAGAGUUAUAAGAUUCUAUGAGACUAGUAUUUUUAAUUAACUUUAAUGAAAGAAAUAAUUUUCUUUUUUAUAAAAUAAAGUACUAUAAAGAUUAAGUGCUAUCUAGAAUAUAGGCUUUUAUUUGCUUUAUUUUUAAAUGUAAAUGGAUAAUGUUAAAAUUAGUAUAUAUACUUAAUUAUUUUUAAGGAACUCGGCAAAAGCUACCCUCAACUAGUUUAUCAAAAACAUAGCUUAAAGAUAUUAUUUUAAGUGACGUCUGCCCAGUGAUAUUUUUAACGGCCGCAGUACAUUGACUGUGCUAAGGUAGCAUAAUAAAUUGACUUUUAAUUGAAGUCGGGUAUGAAAGGAUUUAUGGGGGUGUUCUGUCUUUAAAAUAUAACUAAAACUUACUAAUGAGGUGAAAAUUCCUCUAAAUAUAAACGUAAGACGAGAAGACCCUUAGAAUUAUUAUUAAUACAAAUUUUUUUUGUUAAUUUUUUGUUGGGGCAACAGCUUUGCUAAACCAAGGCUUUAUAUAUAUACACAAAUCAAUAGCUAUUAAAAAUGGUAUAAUUACCUGAGGGAUAACAGCAUAAUUAAAUAUUAGAUUGUGACCUCGAUGUUGGACUAAGGACUAUAGUGAAUAGCCUUUACUAUAGCGAGUUCUGUUCGAACUUUUGACCUUA